GCGCAACGGGGAGCCUUACCAUGGCAGUCGAACGGCAGCACGGACUUCGGUCUGGUGGCGAGUGGCGAACGGGUGAGUAAUGUAUCGGAACGUGCCCAGUAGCGGGGGAUAACUACGCGAAAGCGUAGCUAAUACCGCAUACGCCCUACGGGGGAAAGCAGGGGAUCUUCGGACCUUGCACUAUUGGAGCGGCCGAUAUCGGAUUAGCUAGUUGGUGGGGUAACGGCCUACCAAGGCGACGAUCCGUAGCUGGUUUGAGAGGACGACCAGCCACACUGGGACUGAGACACGGCCCAGACUCCUACGGGAGGCAGCAGUGGGGAAUUUUGGACAAUGGGGGAAACCCUGAUCCAGCCAUCCCGCGUGUGCGAUGAAGGCCUUCGGGUUGUAAAGCACUUU
rnacentral:rRNA from 1 species